UACGUAGGGUGCGAGCGUUGUCCGGAAUUAUUGGGCGUAAAGAGCUUGUAGGCGGUUUGUCGCGUCUGCUGUGAAAAUCCGGGGCUCAACCCCGGACUUGCAGUGGGUACGGGCAGACUAGAGUGUGGUAGGGGAGACUGGAAUUCCGGGUGUAGCGGUGGAAUGCGCAGAUAUCAGGAGGAACACCGAUGGCGAAGGCAGGUCUCUGGGCCACUACUGACGCUGAGAAGCGAAAGCAUGGGGAGCGAACAGG
rnacentral:rRNA from 1 species